AUUGAACGCUGGCGGCAGGCCUAACACAUGCAAGUCGAGCGGAUGAAGGGAGCUUGCUCCUGGAUUCAGCGGCGGACGGGUGAGUAAUGCCUAGGAAUCUGCCUGGUAGUGGGGGAUAACGUCCGGAAACGGGCGCUAAUACCGCAUACGUCCUGCGGGAGAAAGUGGGGGAUCUUCGGACCUCACGCUAUCAGAUGAGCCUAGGUCGGAUUAGCUAGCUGGUGGGGUAAAGGCCUACCAAGGCGACGAUCCGUAACUGGUCUGAGAGGAUGAUCAGUCACACUGGAACUGAGACACGGUCCAGACGCCUACGGGAGGCAGCAGUGGGGAAUAUUGGACAGUGGGCGAAAGCCUGAUCCAGCCAGGCCGCGUGUGUGAAGAAGGUCUUCGGAUUGUAAAGCACUUUAAGUUGGGAGGAAGGGCAGUAAGUUAAGACCUUGCUGUUUUGACGUUACCAACAGAAUAAGCACCGGCUAACUUCGUG
rnacentral:rRNA from 1 species